CUCUCACAACGAAACACAGCAUCCCCACGACAACAAUACUACAGAGAAUCAAAGUUACUCCUUCUUUACGUGAAUAUUUGGGCAAUGUUAUGCACAUCUACCCACACAGUGAUGUAGAAAUGUGGGGCCGUGUUUAAAUGAGGCAUUUUAGGAUAGCAUGGACAAGUCUUAAAUUUAUAAAGAAUAUCUCUUUGGGUUUUUGGCUUUAGUCUUUGCAACUUUAGGGAUCUUAUGUAUUCACAAACAGCUUCUAACACUCCCAAGAGAAAUGAAAACUUAAAAUCGUAUAAUAUGACUCCUUUAACACACUCCUGUAUCUUCACAUCAUUCAUCAGUUUGUUAAUUAUGAUAAUCUUCCUCUUUCAGUUCAUCAUGGUGCUGCUGGGAAUCUAGUGUUUGUGAUCACAGUGGCAUCUGGAGGAGUAUUCAUCAUCAUCAUUAUAAUAUGUAUAAUUCAGAGGAAAAGCAUGAACAGAAAAUUUGCUGUACACGAGUAUGAGAACAAUGAUCCCAGUAUAAGCACAUAUAUGACUCUAGAUCUCAAGUCCAGUUCUUCUGAUGUGUACAACACACUCACAUCUGUCCAUCCCAGAGCUGCUGUUCAUCAGUCGGGCUCUUCUGAAUAUCAGAAUCAGACAGUACGCAGCAGCAAUCCAAACAUCCUGUAUUAACUGUAUUAGUUACACAUAACACUGACAGG